GACGAACGCUGGCGGCGUGCUUAACACAUGCAAGUCGAACGGAAAGGCCCUGCUUUUGUGGGGUGCUCGAGUGGCGAACGGGUGAGUAACACGUGAGUAACCUGCCCUUGACUUUGGGAUAACUUCAGGAAACUGGGGCUAAUACCGGAUAGGAGCUCCUGCUGCAUGGCGGGGGUUGGAAAGUUUCGGCGGUUGGGGAUGGACUCGCGGCUUAUCCGCUUGUUGGUGGGGUAGUGGCUUACCAAGGCUUUGACGGGUAGCCGGCCUGAGAGGGUGACCGGCCACAUUGGGACUGAGAUACGGCCCAGACUCCUACGGGAGGCAGCAGUGGGGAAUAUUGCACAAUGGGCGGAAGCCUGAUGCAGCAACGCCGCGUGCGGGAUGACGGCCUUCGGGUUGUAAACCGCUUUCGCCUGUGACGAAGCGUGAGUGACGGUAAUGGGUAAAGAAGCACCGGCUAACUACGUG
rnacentral:rRNA from 1 species